AGGCCCUGGGGUGUCACACGUGAGAUUGCAAAUCUCAAGAAGCAGGUGUAAAGCCUGCCGGGGCUUC
rnacentral:tRNA from 1 species